rnacentral:rRNA from 1 species
UACGUAGGGUCCGAGCGUUUGUCCGGAAUUAUUGGGGCGUAAAGAGCUCGUAGGCGGUCUGUUGCGUCGGCUGUGAAAACCCGGGGCUCAACUCCGGGCCUGCAGUCGAUACGGGCAGACUAGAGUUCGGUAGGGGAGACUGGAAUUCCUGGUGUAGCGGUGAAAUGCGCAGAUAUCAGGAGGAACACCGGUGGCGAAGGCGGGUCUCUGGGCCGAAACUGACGCUGAGGAGCGAAAGCGUGGGGAGCGAACAGG